GAUGAACGCUGGCGGCGUGCCUAAUACAUGCAAGUCGAACGAAAAGACGAGGCGCUUGCUCCUCUGACGUUAGCGGCGGGCGGGAGAGUAACGCGUGGAUAACCUCCCUAUCAGACUGGGAUAACUACGGAACACCGGAUAUAAUCCCGGAGAAUCUAUUGAACCGCAUGGUUCAAUGGUGAGUGACGGUUUUGCUGUCACUUAUAGCUGGAUCCCCGCCGCAUUAGCUAGUUGGUAAGGUAAAGGCUUACGAAGGCAAGGAUGCGUGUCCGACCUGAGAGGGGGAUCGCCGACACUGGAGCGGAGACACGGUCCAGAGUCCUACGGGAGGCAGCAGAAGGGAAUCGUACGCAACGGGCGAAAGCCUGACGGAGCAACGGCGCGCGAGUGAUGAAGGUCUUCGGAUCGUAAAACUCUGUUAUUAGGGAAGAACAAAUGUGUAAGUAACUAUGCACGUCUUGACGGUACCGAAUCAGAAAGCAACGGCUAACUACGUG
rnacentral:rRNA from 1 species